rnacentral:rRNA from 1 species
UACGGAGGAUGCAAGCGUUAUCCGGAAUGAUUGGGCGUAAAGCGUCCGCAGGUGGCAAUGUAAGUCUGCUGUUAAAGAGUCUAGCUCAACUAGAUAAAAGCAGUGGAAACUACAUAGCUAGAGUACGUUCGAGGCAGAGGGAAUUCCUGGUGUAGCGGUGAAAUGCGUAGAGAUCAGGAAGAACACCAGUGGCGAAGGCGCUCUGCUAGGCCGUAACUGACACUGAGGGACGAAAGCUAGGGGAGCGAAUGGG